rnacentral:rRNA from 1 species
AUUGAACGCUGGCGGCAGGCCUAACACAUGCAAGUCGAACGAGUGGCGGACGGGUGAGUAAUGUCUGGGAAACUGCCUGAUGGAGGGGGAUAACUACUGGAAACGGUAGCUAAUACCGCAUACCAUCAGAUGUGCCCAGAUGGGAUUAGCUAGUGGGUGGGGUAACGGCGCACCAAGGCGACGAUCCCUAGCUGGUCUGAGAGGAUGACCAGCCACACUGUAACUGAUACACGGUCCAGACUCCUAAGGGUGGCAGCAGUAGGGAAUAGUUCACAAUGGGCGAAAGCCUGAUGCAACCAUGCCGCGUGUAUGAAGAAGGCCUUCGGGUUGUAAAGUACUUUCAGCGGGGAAGCGUUACCCGCAGAAGAAGCACCGGCUAACUCCGUGCCAGCCGCCGCGGUAAUAC